rnacentral:rRNA from 1 species
UUAGUAGCGGCGAGCGAACAGGGAAGAGCCCAGCGCCGAAUUCCGCGUCUCAAAGGGCGUUUGGAACAUGUGGCGUUUAGGAGGAAUCUCUCCGAGGGCAGACGGUGUCGCAAGUCCCCCUGAACGGGGCUGUGAUCCAGAGCGGGUGCGAGGCCCAUAGCUGGUACCGUCUCCUUUGGGUGUCCCCUCCUUGGAGUCGGGUUGCUUGGGAGUGCAGCCCUAAUUGGGUGGUAAACUCCACCUAAGGCUAAAUACGUCCGUGAGACCGAUAGCAAACAAGUACCGUGAGGGAAAGUUGCAAAGAACUUUGAAGAGAGAGUUCAAGAGUACGUGAAACCGCUCAGAGGCAAACGGGUGGGCCCACGAAAGCCGAAGGCGGGGGGAUUCAGUCGAGAGGACGGUGGGGCAGGACUGGCUGGUUGGACGGACCGUGCCAGGCCGGGUCAGUUCCCGAGAUCUGCCGCCUUUCGACGCAUUUCCCCCUGCUUAGUAGGACGCCGCAACCGGUUGGCGCUGCAGCCAUAAGGGAGAGUAAAUGGAAGGUAGCCAGUGAGUUCUUCUUCGGAGGCGCGAGCUGGUCCUAAGCCGACUCUCCUGGUGCUUGUGGCCCGACCGUGGUCGUGAGUCCCUCAACGGGAUGUCGCCGAGCCCUCUGACUGGAGCGGGAGAAAUGGCAGGCUGCUUUCCGCGGAAAAAAUCGAUCGCUUCACGCGUGCAGUGGGCGAUCUCCGGAGGUAGCUGCUGGUGCGUUUUUCUCCUGCGCUGGGCACAGGCAGUUGGCGGCGAGUAGGUCGGUCACCCACCCGACCCGUCUUGAAACACGGACCAAGGAGUCUAACAUGUGCGCGAGUCAUUGGGUCUUGAACAAGCCCAAAGGCGCAAUGAAAGUGAAGACCAGCACUGAAGCUGGUGGAGUUGGGAAACUGUGUCACUGAAGAUGCAGUUGCACCAACGGCCCGUCCCGUCCGCAUCGUCGGUGGGGCGGAGCGAGAGCGUACACGUUGGGACCCGAAAGAUGGUGAACUAUGCCUGGGCAGGACGAAGCCAGAGGAAACUCUGGUGGAGGUCCG